rnacentral:lncRNA from 1 species
CAAGGCAGAGGGCCCUGGGAGAAGGUUGAAUUACAGAAAAAUGCAAUUGCUCAAAAGACAGGUCUUCAUCUGCAAGCCUGGGGAGAGUGUGGGAGCUGUUUGAAGGAUGUGCCAUGGGAUCAAAGGCAGGGACAGCACCAAAAAAGCAUUUCUGAGGAGGUGGGAAUGGCAGUCCCAGCUGUUAGCAAGGAAUAUUCCCUUGCUGGCCCUGAGAUGACACAGACCAUCCCAACAACCAGUGCUCUUAAACAGGAGAGUGUGAGAGGAGCUGAAAUUUGUCUGUCCUCACAGGAAAUGAGGUUUGGCUUGACCUGGAGGAGAGAAGAGGUGUCUGGAUGGGCAGAGUUGUUUGCCAGGUGGAUUUGCCUCCGUGAGUGGUGCAGCAGUUGCUCAUCCUUCAGGGACGUUUUCCUCUGCCCAAAAUGCUUCCUGCUGUGUUGAGCCGUGCUUGAAGCCGUGCUUGUUAAAUAAGUGCCGCUGAGCUUUAAACAAAUGAAGCUGAUUUACCAGGGCUGUAGGAUGGCCAGGUAUCUAAGUUGUUAUUUAAGAGUAUUGGCACUUGGAAGGCCGAGUGCUAAAAGCACUUCAUUUUUAUUUCAGCUCUUAAUUGAAAAUCAGCUGGUUUGUCUCGUUCUCCUCCCCUGCUCCCAUGCCCACGGUGGGAUAAAGGUUUCUAACGUGACACAACGUGUUUGUCAAAAAGUGGCUCCAGCCCAGGCUUUCACUUGUGGUUUAUUAGUUUAAUUACCCAGGCUCUUGCAAAGACUCCUCAGUGAGGCAGAAAUGAGAGAGUCUAAUGUUUCUUGGGCUGGAUCCUUACAUCAUGUGAAGGCACCUGGUGAAGGCAGCGAGGUAAAAACGUGGCUCCUGUGAUUAACCUUGACUGGAUUCAAUAAUACCUCAGAGUCACAUUAUUGCUGACCUUGUGCUUUGCCACAUUCUCAUCUUUCUAAUUUGUCUUUUCUUCCUGCCUUUGCAGCAAUAGCAGGCAGAAGUGUUAAAAAAUAAACCUCUCCUGGCUGCCUUGUGGGACA